UGGAAGGCACGCUGCUAAACUGAAGACAGC
rnacentral:piRNA from 1 species